rnacentral:rRNA from 1 species
CUGCGAUAAGCGCCGGUAAGGUGAUAUGAACCGUUAUAACCGGCGAUACCCGAAUGGGGAAACCCAGUGUGACUCGUCACACUAUCAUUAACUGAAUCCAUAGGUUAAUGAGGCGAACCGGGGGAACUGAAACAUCUAAGUACCCCGAGGAAAAGAAAUCAACCGAGAUUCCCCCAGUAGCGGCGAGCGAACGGGGAGGAGCCCAGAGCCUGAAUCAGCAUGUGUGUUAGUGGAAGCGUCUGGAAAGGCGCGCGAUACAGGGUGACAGCCCCGUACACAAAAGCGCAUGUGCUGUGAGCUCGAUGAGUAGGGCGGGACACGUGGUAUCCUGUCUGAAUAUGGGGGGACCAUCCUCCAAGGCUAAAUACUCCUGACUGACCGAUAGUGAACCAGUACCGUGAGGGAAAGGCGAAAAGAACCCCGGCGAGGGGAGUGAAAAAGAACCUGAAACCGUGUACGUACAAGCAGUGGGAGCACAGGUUUACCUGUGUGACUGCGUACCUUUUGUAUAAUGGGUCAGCGACUUAUAUUCUGUAGCAAGGUUAACCGAAUAGGGGAGCCGGAGGGAAACCGAGUCUUAACCGGGCGUUAAGUUGCAGGGUAUAGACCCGAAACCCGGUGAUCUAGCCAUGGGCAGGUUGAAGGUUGGGUAACACUAACUGGAGGACCGAACCGACUAAUGUUGAAAAAUUAGCGGAUGACCUGUGGCUGGGGGUGAAAGGCCAAUCAAACCGGGAGAUAGCUGGUUCUCCCCGAAAGCUAUUUAGGUAGCGCCUCGUGAAUUCAUCUCCGGGGGUAGAGCACUGUUUCGGCUAGGGGGCCAUCCCGGCUUACCAACCCGAUGCAAACUGCGAAUACCGGAGAAUGUUAUCACGGGAGACACACGGCGGGUGCUAACGUCCGUCGUGAAGAGGGAAACAACCCAGACCGCCAGCUAAGGUCCCAAAGUCAUGGUUAAGUGGGAAACGAUGUGGGAAGGCCCAGACAGCCAGGAUGUUGGCUUAGAAGCAGCCAUCAUUUAAAGAAAGCGUAAUAGCUCACUGGUCGAGUCGGCCUGCGCGGAAGAUGUAACGGGGCUAAACCAUGCACCGAAGCUGCGGCAGCGACGCUUAUGCGUUGUUGGGUAGGGGAGCGUUCUGUAAGCCUGUGAAGGUGGCCUGUGAGGGUUGCUGGAGGUAUCAGAAGUGCGAAUGCUGACAUAAGUAACGAUAAAGCGGGUGAAAAGCCCGCUCGCCGGAAGACCAAGGGUUCCUGUCCAACGUUAAUCGGGGCAGGGUGAGUCGACCCCUAAGGCGAGGCCGAAAGGCGUAGUCGAUGGGAAACGGGUUAAUAUUCCCGUACUUGGUGUUACUGCGAAGGGGGGACGGAGAAGGCUAUGUUGGCCGGGCGACGGUUGUCCCGGUUUAAGCGUGUAGGUGUGUGUUCCAGGUAAAUCCGGUUCACUUUAACACUGAGGCGUGACGACGAGGCACUACGGUGCUGAAGCAACAAAUGCCCUGCUUCCAGGAAAAGCCUCUAAGCAUCAGGUAACAUCAAAUCGUACCCCAAACCGACACAGGUGGUCAGGUAGAGAAUACCAAGGCGCUUGAGAGAACUCGGGUGAAGGAACUAGGCAAAAUGGUGCCGUAACUUCGGGAGAAGGCACGCUGACACGUAGGUGAAGUGAUUUACUCAUGGAGCUGAAGUCAGUCGAAGAUACCAGCUGGCUGCAACUGUUUAUUAAAAACACAGCACUGUGCAAACACGAAAGUGGACGUAUACGGUGUGACGCCUGCCCGGUGCCGGAAGGUUAAUUGAUGGGGUCAGCGCAAGCGAAGCUCCUGAUCGAAGCCCCGGUAAACGGCGGCCGUAACUAUAACGGUCCUAAGGUAGCGAAAUUCCUUGUCGGGUAAGUUCCGACCUGCACGAAUGGCGUAAUGAUGGCCAGGCUGUCUCCACCCGAGACUCAGUGAAAUUGAACUCGCUGUGAAGAUGCAGUGUACCCGCGGCAAGACGGAAAGACCCCGUGAACCUUUACUAUAGCUUGACACUGAACAUUGAGCCUUGAUGUGUAGGAUAGGUGGGAGGCUUUGAAGUGUGGACGCCAGUCUGCAUGGAGCCGACCUUGAAAUACCACCCUUUAAUGUUUGAUGUUCUAACGUGGACCCGUAAUCCGGGUUGCGGACAGUGUCUGGUGGGUAGUUUGACUGGGGCGGUCUCCUCCUAAAGAGUAACGGAGGAGCACGAAGGUUGGCUAAUCCUGGUCGGACAUCAGGAGGUUAGUGCAAUGGCAUAAGCCAGCUUGACUGCGAGCGUGACGGCGCGAGCAGGUGCGAAAGCAGGUCAUAGUGAUCCGGUGGUUCUGAAUGGAAGGGCCAUCGCUCAACGGAUAAAAGGUACUCCGGGGAUAACAGGCUGAUACCGCCCAAGAGUUCAUAUCGACGGCGGUGUUUGGCACCUCGAUGUCGGCUCAUCACAUCCUGGGGCUGAAGUAGGUCCCAAGGGUAUGGCUGUUCGCCAUUUAAAGUGGUACGCGAGCUGGGUUUAGAACGUCGUGAGACAGUUCGGUCCCUAUCUGCCGUGGGCGCUGGAGAACUGAGGGGGGCUGCUCCUAGUACGAGAGGACCGGAGUGGACGCAUCACUGGUGUUCGGGUUGUCAUGCCAAUGGCACUGCCCGGUAGCUAAAUGCGGAAGAGAUAAGUGCUGAAAGCAUCUAAGCACGAAACUUGCCCCGAGAUGAGUUCUCCCUGAGACUUAGAGUCUCCUGAAGGAACGUUGAAGACGACGACG